UUUCAAACUGGACAGACAAAAUUUAAAAAGUGUUCUUCACGAUCUCCCUGGAAAUAAUUCACGCUAUCACUUUGUGAACAUUGUAAAUAUGAAACUGCAAAUACGGACCAAAACGAAUCAAAUUUGAAAGCGUGGAUGAUCAUGUUUCAUGCCGACUGUAAGUGCUCUAAAAAAAGGGGGGUGCUCCAUGAAUUUUGCUGCACGUCAAAGACGUCCAUGUACUAAAUAAUUAGAAUGUAAGACAUAUUCACUUAACUCUUGUCUACUUUAUACCGGAUUUUAUAUAAAUAAAUUCCCAUUGUAUCUGGGAACAAUUAGUUUUAUCCUCAUUAUAAACUAACUAUCUAACUAAUUUUAUUCAGCAUAAAAUCCAGUACAAAAGGAUCAUCGCUGAAACACAUGAACACAUAAAAAACAUAUACAAAACAAAACAACAAUAAAACAUAACAGCCAACACUUUUGACACUUAUAAUAAGCAAGAGACAAAACUCAAUAUAUGUUUUUUUUGUAAUUUAUUUUUAUUUCAUCUGAAAAUACACCAAGUAUAUAUUGUGAUACACAAUUAUAUAAUUAAUUCAUAAUAUAUAUAUUGAUAUUAAAUUUUUCAAUAACAGUCUAAAAUUAAAAAGUUACUUAUGCUAAUUGUUCUAAAUUUUCUACUGGAUCAUACACAUCCUUUAUCACUCUGGAUUAGAAUACCUGAAUAUGCUGAUAAGGUUAAUGAUUGCAUCAGCCUUCUCCUAUAGCCACAUGCAUCACUGCCUAUACAGUGAUGUAAAACAUGAGAGGUACCAGGAGAGGCCACCAGAGAUCAUUAACAGAUAACAUGUUGGACAACAUGUUGGACAGAGUCACAUAAUAAAUGUCAACCUAAGUCAAGGGAGAUAAUUCAAAUACAAUCAAACAAAAACUAGUAUAUCAAUAUAUAUAUAAACAAUAGCAAUAAACAUAGAUAGUACUUUUAAGAUGCACACAAAUCACUGUCCAGUUGUGAUGUGCAUCAACAUAUUAUUAAUUCUACAUGAACUAUUAUAAAGCCUUAAGUAAGUACAUAAAUAGAAAGAUCUCUCCUCACAUGUGAACUAAGUUUUUAAUUAAUUCCCAUUUACUAUCAAAUUUCUCUCUUGCUCUAGGGGAUCUGUAAAAGGAGGUAGAUAUUUUUUCUAUUUGGUAGGAAUUUUUAAUCAUAGCUAUGACACCUUUAAGAGUCGGUAAUGAAGUAUUAAAGCGACAUGUAUACAUGUAAAUAUAAUAUUUAACCAGAAUAGUGAAUAAGUUUAGGGAAAUAUCCCAAGACUCUGACCCAAGAACAAUAUUUUCCACAUUAAGAAUUAAAGUUAAAUUAUUUUCAACUAGAAAAAGUGCUGCAAUUUCUAACCACAAAUUUCUAACUAGCAUACAUUCCCAGAAAAGGUGACUUAUAGUUUCUUUAGUUUCAUUACAGAAACUACAUAAGUUAGUUUCUUUUAACCCGUAUUUCUGCAAUAAUGCAUUUGUAGCGAGAGUUCUAUGUAAAAUCUUAAACUGGAACAUACUAAAUUUGUUGUUUUUAGUGCAACAAAAGGGUAAACUAUAAAUGAAAUCCCAAUUUUCUAUAUGAGUGCCUAGUUCCUUACACAUUUUGUCUUCUUGUUUUGUAGGACGUUCUGUAUACAUUGACAAGAAUUUUUUAUAAAAGAACUGACAUGACUUUUUAUUGUUUUUUAUAAAUUCAAAUUUAUCGUUAGAUAUGUGAGUAAUUUUCUCUGAAGUAGUGAUUAAAUUUUUCCAGUCUUUUGGUAUCAUAUGCAGCAAAAGAUGGUAUUCCAAGAAAUUAAUAUUAAGAUUAUAUUUUUCGCAGAAUUCUUUUAAAGUAAAAAAAUUACUGUUUUCAUCAAGUAAAUCACCUAUAAAGAAAACUCCUGAUUCAACCCACCUCUGGUAAAAGACAGUUUUAUUAUUAAUUUUCAAACUCUUGUUUAGCCAUAUGGAUUGUUUCAUGAUCCCUUCAGCAGUGCCAUUAGUGACAGUGUUUAGGAUAUUCCAGUUUAGUAAAAUAUCUUUCCAGAAAUUAUUAAAAUUUGAAGAAAUCUUUUGGAUACCAUCAGGGGUCAUCAACCAUAUUUUGUCUGCUCCUAAUCUGUUGUAUUGAUCUAUUAACAAUGUUUUCCAUGGGGAUAUAUUCAAGGGGUCUAAAAGUUUAUUUAUCCAUGUCAUCUUUAAUGAAUAACAAAAGGAUCUUAUAUCUGGCAUUUUCAACCCCCCAUUUUCAAAUAACCCUAUCAUAACUUUUCUUUUAAUCUUGUCUGGUUUUCCUGACCACAAGAAACUAAAAAAAAUAUUUUGAAUUUCUUUUAUUUUAUCAUCCGGAGGAUUUGGCAAAACUGUCAAUGAUUGAAUUAGAAUAGGUAGAGCUAGUGAUUUAAUGACAGUGAUCUUUCCCAUAUAUGUUAAAUCUCUAUAAACCCAGGAAUUUAGCAGGCUCUGUAUUUUUUUUUUUUUCUUCAAAAUUUACAAGCGUUUUAUUUUCACUGAACAGAUCAAAUUUUAUUCCUAAAAGUUUAAAUUUUCCUGAAUGAUUCCAGUUCAAAUUUCUUGUAGUUGUUAGUUUAUCCCUUGAGUGAAUCUUUGACCCAAUCCAUAUGGCUUCUGUUUUAUCAAAAUUAGCCCUAAGUCCCGCACACUCAGAAAUUUUUCUAAAGUAUAUAAACAUUUAUCUAAAGAUUUCUCAUCCUCGUCUAAUAAGAGACAUGAGUCAUCUGCAUACUGGCUUAGUAGAUACUCAGAAUCAUUUAUUUUCAUACCAUUUAUAUCUGGGUUAUUUUUAAGUGCAGCACUCAUAAGCUCUAAAGAUAAUGGAGAUAGAGGAUCACCUUGUCUAACACCCCGACCAAUAUUAAAAAAUUGAGAGCAAUGUCCAUUAUUUAUAAUACAGCUCUGCAAUUCUGAAUAUAAGGUCUUGACCCAUCUACAAAAAAUAGGACCAAAUCCUAGAAAAGACAAAGCCAAGUCUAUACAUGACCACUCAAGAGUAUCAAAAGCUUUCUCAAAGUCUAAUAAAAGUAAAAGACCUGGUAGAUUAUCAUCUUCUGCCUUUUCCAUAAUGUCAAAAAUAAGCCUGGUACAUUCUCCAAUAUACCUUCCCUUUAUGAAACCUUGCUGUGUUUCACUAAUUAUAUCCCCAAGAAAAGGUUUUAUUCUAUUUGCUAAUGCAGCUGAUGCAAGUUUUGUAUCAACAUUUAAUAAAGUGAUAGGUCUCUCGCUUUUUAACUGAAAUUUUGAUUUACCCUCUUUUGGAAUGCAUGUUAUUACUCCUUGUUUCUGACUAACCGAAAAAGAUCCAGUUUCUAAGCUAUAAUUAAAAGAUUUUAUAAUAAACUCAUGGAGGUCUAAUCAAAAAAAAUUUAUAAAAUUCUGUUGUAAAUCCAUCCAUCCCUGGAGAUUUACCAUUUUUCAUAUUUUUCAAUGUUUUUAAGAACUCAUUAUAUGUUUAUGUGUUAAUCAGAAUGUAUUGUGUAUUGUUGUCAUUAUGCCCGUCUUAAUUGGAAAUAAGGAACUUUGAACUUUUAUAUGUCCCUGAUUUCAUUUAUAUAAUACAUGUACACCCAAGUUUAAUAGUUUAUCUAUAGAAAUUAAAUCUUUUAUGAAAACAAAUUGAUACACUACAAAGGGAAAGGGAUUAUAGGCACUUGUUUCUGGCAAUGGGGGUUCACUAUCCAUACUCUUCUUUCCCAUAUAUAAAAAAAUAAACCAGAUAAAUGUAGCAUCCCCGUUGUAAUUAACCAAUCACCCGUCACCUAUUUGAGAGCUUAUACAUACAUUUACAUGUCAGACCAGAAACUAACAAAUUUCAGUGGCAAAACCAGAACUUUUCAUAAAAGGGGAGGGGGGUCUCAUGCUUCAGUCCCUAUAUAAUCAACAAAUUUUUUUCCAACAAGGUCUCAAUAGUCAUGACAGUGGUGGUUCCAGGAUUUAAAUUGAGAAAAACUGGGUUGUGAGUGCCCCCAAAAUGUAUAUAAUUUUAGCUUGUAUUGUACAUGUUAUGAUAUUUAUGUACACUAUAAUAUAGUUGAAUAUAAAAAUGUUAACGAAAGGAUUGUUAACACACAAAUCUGCUCCAUGUUACGAUGUUAAACAUUGUUAUCUAACAUGUUUAACCCCGCCACAUUAUUUAUGUAUGUGCCUGUCCCAAGUCAGGAGCCUGUAAUUCAGUGGUUGUCGUUUGUUUAUGUGUUACAUAUUUGUUCUUCGUUAAUUUAUUUACAUAAAUAAGGCCGUUAGUUUUCUCGUUUUAAUUGUUUUACAUUGUCUUAUCGAGGCCUUUUAUAGCUGACUAUGCGGUAUUGGGGUUUCUUGUUGAAGCUGUACAGUGACCUAUAAUUGUUAUUGUCUGUGUCAUUUUGGUCUUUUGUGGAUAGUUGUCUCAUUUGCAAUCAUACCACAUCUUCUUUUUUAUAUUAUACAUGAAAAAAAUGUUUUCAAGACUUGGAAAUAUUUUCUUUGCCCAUUGUUGCCUUUAACUUUUAUGUAUUGAGCAAAAUGCUAGAGGCAUAAUUAUUUAUAAUACUUAGUAAAAACAUGUAUUUUCUUGGUAAUUCAUAUAUAUAUAUGGCAAAUUUGUAUUUAAUAUGUGUUGAUAAUAACAAUGCAAAGUUUAAUUUUGCUUUGCAUAAUUUAGUAUAUAAUUUAUUUAGUAAUUGUAUGUACAUUUGCUUUAUAUUUACAGGAAAGAGAAAGAUGUUCACUAUGAAUCAAAAAUUCAAUACAUAGGACUUUUAUAUAUCAACAAAAAACACAUGUACAUGUACAUGUGUAUGUGUGAUAUACAUACAACAAGAAAACAGUAAUCAAAUGGAAUGUCAAUCACC
rnacentral:lncRNA from 1 species